GGUGACCCCAGGAGGACGUGCCCGGGCCCCACGAGGGCGGGAAGGCCUGGUGCGCGAGCCCGCGGUGCGGAGGCUGCCGGAGGGCCUGGGCGGCCUCUGGGGCAAGGACUUCCCAACUUGGCUCAACGCAGAAAACACGAAGCAUAAACCCCUGCACUUUGGCUUGGGCAAACCAAACAAACGAGAGUGGCAGUGGCAGUGAUCCCAGUCGGGAGCCACCACCCCACUCACCAGACCUCUCACGACUCCCGGCGCAGCAGAUGCAGUUCUGGAGGCUGCGGGGUCCAAGACUGAGGCAGUGGCAGAUUCAGUGUUUGCUGAGAGCCCACGUUCGGGGUCACAGACCGCGCUCUUGCACCGUGACCCCUCAUGGCAGAAGGGGUAAGGGAAUCCCCCAGGACCUGCUUCCACUCGCGAGGGCUCCAUCCUCAGGACCUAAGCACCUCCCGGAGAUCUGCCUCUAAAAGCCAUCACACUGGGGUCACCCUUCAACAUGUGAAUUGUGGGAAGAACACAAACACUCAAUCUAUGGCAAACCAUACGUAUGUGCCUGUGUCCGAACUCCUCUACCUACACAAACAGGCAUUUCAUAUCAGUCAACUCAGUGGGUGUGCAGCCAACUGUUCGGAGAACGUAGAAGUCCCUUGUUGGCCUUUGCUCUUCUCUUAGCCUUCCCCCCACCCACGGCCAACUGAUUCAACUUUGCUUCCUUGCGAUUUGCUUCAAGACCCCAUAGGGGAAAACCAUAGACAUUUCUGAUUAAUAGAUCAUGUUAAAUUUGUCCGGGUUAAUUAGGGCUCACGUAUGUGUGGUAGCUAUGAAAUAUUUUAUUCUCCAGGCAUCAGCUGGAGUUGGUGCUAACUGAUCCUCUAACGACCUGGGAAAUUCAAGGUGUUCACAUUUCAAAUAAAGGUAAACAGCCAGUAUGAUAAA